GAUUCUCUUUCACCCUAUCUCUGUUUAAGUUUUGGUGAUUUCACUUUUUUCGUUCUGCCAACAUCACUAGUUUCGUAUACUUGGGGAGGAGGGGUGUACAUAUUUCUUUAUCAGUAUUCACUGUCCCAUCUUCCUCUAUCCUCUAUCCAUCCCCUUCCACUCGAACUCGAAAUAAGUACUUAAUUCGACUGAUUCUAAUCUGAUAUCACCCCAAAGGUUUUGAAAGAUGCUGGUACAUAAACUCAUCCAUUCCCUUCUCUGCAGCUCAUUCCCUUCCUGUCUGCAACCUCCCCAUCAUUUCCUCUUUCUCCCCAGAGCGAGGGUGGGGUGAAUGAGUCCCACUGUCGUUGGGGAGAAGGGUUCAUUCUGACGUUCAGUCUCACGGACCGGACGAGCUUCAACGCCAUUCCAGACAUCCACGCCUCUGUUGCUGCUGCUCGCCAGACGCCAAAUUUUUCCUGUGUCAUUGUCGCUAAUAAAAUUGAUUUGGGGCACCUAGCGGAGGUGCGCGAGGAGGAGGCGUUCGAGCUGGCGGGCGAGCUGGGCGCGUCGCUCUUCCUCACGUCGGCGUGCGACGGAGGGCCCGCCAUCCACGCCGCCUUCUCGGAGCUAUAUCGCGAUGUCGUGCGGCGUCGCUGGUCCAGACGACGUCGAUCCUCGGCCAAGACGGUCAUCGAGGGCUUCUACAAGAUGUUCUCGAGGUGAUAUCGCAUGAACACCGCCUGCACACUGGGUCAUUCAGAUCAGUGACUCACGAGACUAUCAUGCACGGUUGCACAUGAUCUAGGUCUCCUGGACAUAUUCAUGUACAAGCUCUCGCGCGGUCAUAUCUGUCACGUCCAACGACCCAUGUGACGAUGUGUCACGUCCGUCAAGCACAGAAAACAAGAUUUUAUCCUUGAAACUAUGGCGUCUUAUUACGCACAGAGACCUUAUCGCUGCAGGCCCUCGUGGAGCACGAACAUUCACGUCGCUGUAGGAAGACAUCCUUACCAUCUAGGGAUUUAUGACUCACCACUCCGGUCCGGCUGCAGAGAAACAUAGUGAUUGGACACAGAUUGCAAAUGUGAUGCCACUGCAGAGUUCUCUCAAAAUAUAAUUUGAAGUAGUGCUUCUUAUUUGAACUAGUGAGGUCAAAACACAUAGUCUUUAAGAAAUAUAUAAUGAAAAUUAUUAUUUUUUUCUAAUAAUAAUUAUUUGUUUUGGAAAUACCACAUAUGUAUUUAUCAUGUACAAUGAAGUUAGUUGACCAGUUAAGUAAUCUCAAUAUUUGUUUUAUAUGAAUGUCUUCCUAAUGUGAGUAAACCAGUUAAAAAAACGUGCUAACAAACCACAAGAUAUAUUUGCCCAAUAUUUAAUAAUUUGUAUGUAUUUAGCAUUUCUUCUGAAUAGUUUGCAAAUCAAGUGGGUUCACUUCCUAAAUAAGCAGACAGAACUCUGCAAGGUUAGUGAUUAAUACUUUGAACAUUUAUAUGAAGAUUUCCAAACAGUCAUUUAUAAAAAAAGCAGAUGUUAAUUUGCCAUGACAUGGAUUAAAGAAAUCAAAUGUUGCCUUUUGUGCAUAUAUUACAUCUAUAAUUAUUUUCUGAAUUAUAUUGCAUGUCAUCUUUUAUUUGUGUUUCUUCUGGCUUGACAUUCUUUUAGCAAUCCUAAUUUAACAGCUUUUUUAUUUAUUUAUUUAUUAAUUUUUACUUCUGAAAUCAUAUACAAGUAUAUACUUAUUGUUUGACACUCUUUUCUUGAAUAAUUAACAUUCUACAUUAGCUAUGUUUCACCAGACAACUAGCCAUAGUCUGGAGUACCUGAUUAUUGGAUGUUGACAGACAACAGAUUGUACCACCCUAAUAUAUAAAUUCAUGUCACAUAUUACAUAUAUCAUGAAUAACAAUACAAAUGACUGUCUCUUAACAGGUUGUUUGUACACAGGCUGUUUCCCUGUUCAUUAUAUUUUGGCAAAAUAUGUUUCCUCAUAAAAUGGAAUAAAGCAAUACCACAGUGACAGUCUUCUAACUUUCCUCCCAGAUGGAAAUUCAAAUCCACUCAAUCUAGGUAAUAUUUACAGUUGAGUGGGUGUGAAUCCAUGUUGGGAGCAAAGUUGUACAUAAUUCCUGAUUACACAUUCUUUUAAAUGUAUAUUACAGCAAACUGUUUAAUAGCUAGAUUAUGUCAGAUCUCAUUCUCUAUUUGGCAAAUGUAAUGUCAGACUGCAUUACUUAAUUAUUUGAUCCUGCAUAUGUAUAAGAAUGAAGGGUAUCAAAAUAUUUCAUAAUUUCAUUAUUGAGAUGUUGAAUGUCUUACUAGAAUGUAGUCUUUCAUGGUGAAUGUCUUACUAGACUGCCCCUGAGUAAUGUAUGUCACAAUACACUACAAGGUUGGUUCCUAAGUAUCACAUCAAACUGUCCCUGAGAGAUAGAUGUCAGGAAUGUAAAAUAAUGGAAGCUAAAACCACAUGAGAGAAACAUGAUUUAAGAAAAGACAUAUACCUAAGAGACUUCCGACCAAGUUCCCGUUAGUUACUACCCUAGUUUUGUAUACCUAUGGCAUCUGUUGAGCAUGUUUGAUGUUGUUUAUUGUGGCACCACCGCUUCUAGUCUGUAGGUGAAAUGCUAAGCUGAGAAAAAAAAUGCAGCAUGAUAUGUAACAUUUUUUGGAAUUAGUUCUCUGACUGCAGAUAGUUGAACUUCUCUUUCAGUGAUGAGAUGGCAUCUUAUUAGACCAUUUCAUCCAAAUAAACAGUAAUGAAUGCUUCCACAUAAGUAAAAAUCACAUUCAGUAUUUUAAAUCUAUUUAUCAACUGUGUGUGUGUAUUGGAUGUGUAUAUAUGAAUGCCUCUGUGUAUGCAUGCCCAUGUAUGUAAGAUGUGCAUGUUUUUCUGUGAAUGUGUUUGUGUUUGCAGGUUCAUGCAAUUCUGUGAAGAAUAUGAUAUUGACAGAAUAGUACUAUAAUAAAGUAAUAAAAUAUUA